GGUGUUCAUAAGACUGUAGUCUUUUUUAUUGUAGGAAUGGUUUCAUUUUCCUUUGAUGAAGUAGAAUUACGUUCACGGUAUGAAACUGUGAGCUUUUCAGGUAAGAACUAAUGGCUCUUGUUUUGAGUACUGUAUUCAGCUCUGGAUCCCCCAGCACAAGAAGGACAGGGACAGCUAAGGGGUUGGAAUUAGAUGAUCUUUAAGGUCCCUUCUAAACCAAACCGUUCUAUGAUUCUAUGGUUCUAUGGUUCUAUGAUUUUAUGGUUCUAUAAUUCUAUGACGGUGGUAUUACCCUAAUGGCAACAUGCUCCUCAUUAACUUACUUGAUAUUUCAGCAGCAUACACUUUUUUUCUGGGGCCAAGGGAAGACCAAACGAACUCAGUGACUCCGAAAUGUUCUCCAUAAAGACUGAGAUCCUUGUCAAAGAGAUGGAGAAACUACAUCACAGAACAAAGGUACUGACUUGCUAAUGGUCAUGCCACAAAUCAGGAUAGAAAAUAGAGGAGAGCUGGAAAAGUUGCAGCAGCAGCAGAGGACAUUAGCAGACCCGUGUGAUGUGCAGCUGAAGCAGAGAGGAUGUGUAAAGCUGGUAGAACGGGUAGAAGAGAGGAAGAAUGAGUUAGCCUUUUUCACUCAUGUGGGUGGGAGAAAGACAGGCAGUCAAACAUUCGGCAAGGAUUCCAGGCAGUGUGAAGGUGGAGCACUGGGACCCAGAGGUAUUGAGCUGCCAAAGGUCACAGAGGUUGCAUUGAAGUUGAGAGCUGAACUUGUGCUCCUAUGUCCUGAUCAAGCAGAGCUCCAAGAUGGAGUUUAA
rnacentral:lncRNA from 1 species